CCCUUAGAUGUUCUGGGCUGCACGCGCGCUACACUGAAGCUAUCAACACGUUUUCCCUCCCUGAGAAGGGCGGGUAACCUUUUGAAUCAGCUUCGUGGUAGGGAUCGGGGCUUGCAAUUGUUCCCCGUGAACCAGGAAUUCCUAGUAGACGCUAGUCAUAAGCUCGCAUCGAUUAAGUCCCUGCCCUUUGUACACACCGCCCGUCGCUACUACCGAUUGAACGUUUUAGUGAGGCAUUUGGACCGACGCAUCUCAGUUUAACCGCUGGUUUGUGUUGGAAAGACUUCCAAACUUGAGCGUUUAGAGGAAGUAAAAGUCGUAACA
rnacentral:rRNA from 1 species